CAAGGAACACUUAAGCUAAAAAUAAUAUGCUUUUUAAACCACAUUGCAUGCAGACAUAGUCUAUCAGAAUUGAAAUGCGGAAAUAAAAACAUAACUAUCAUCAUAAGUAUCACAUUGAUAAUUUCGAAUACCUGUGUUAAUUGGUAUAUCCUAAUAUACUUGUUUAUGGUAGUUAUAACAAUAACAUUAUUAAUUGUAAAAUUCAGAAAGUCAAAAUUGUUCAAAAUAUCUGUGUA